GAUCCUGAUGGGUAUGUUGCCAAUUUUGUGGAAUCUGAGCAAAUUGUACAUAUGAAUGGGUAUACAGCAUCAUUUGUUCAGGUCCGGGGUUCAAUGCCAUUUCUUUGGGAGCANAGUCGAUUUGACAUACAAGCCUAAGUUUGAGAUUGUCAAACCCGAGGAUGCUCCUCAAGUAGCAGAGCGGCAUUUUCUGGAUUUGAGAAAAAAAUAUGGAAGUGUAUUGGCAGUUGACCUUGUCAAUAAGCAUGGAGG
rnacentral:misc_RNA from 1 species